CCAGGUAGCAUUCCUCGCAGACAAUACUCGAAGGGGCAUGCAAAUGCCACGACGAGAGUCGUUCAGUUGGGACAAAAAUCACUAGCAACGGGCCAAGACGAGCCAUUGUCGUCGUACCCAAUGCAUAUUCCGCAUCCGAGAGCUCAAGCGAGCGUUCAUGGGCCAACCAACUACAAUCGCAAUUCGAGUUACGUGGGACACAAACAACGCUUCGAGGUUCACCGCGUCAAAAGCCUGUAACUAAACAGGCAGACGCCGUGUGAAUGAUGCACGAUUUGGCAGCAUAAUUCCGUAUAGUAGGAAUGCAACACAGGAAACCAAAGAAAAUGGGUAGCCAAGACAAGGUGCUCUUGUGGAACUAUCAAAUGAAGAGGAGCGCACGGCCAAUCGUCACUGCCACAACAAUGAUCCAACCAACCCAUACAAGA
rnacentral:misc_RNA from 1 species